UACGAAGGGGGCUAGCGUUGCUCGGAAUCACUGGGCGUAAAGGGUGCGUAGGCGGGUCUUUAAGUCAGGGGUGAAAUCCUGGAGCUCAACUCCAGAACUGCCUUUGAUACUGAGGAUCUUGAGUCCGGGAGAGGUGAGUGGAACUGCGAGUGUAGAGGUGAAAUUCGUAGAUAUUCGCAAGAACACCAGUGGCGAAGGCGGCUCACUGGCCCGAUACUGACGCUGAGGCACGAAAGCCAGGGGAGCAAACGGG
rnacentral:rRNA from 1 species